UGUUGAUUUAUCGGGUCAUUUCCUUUCUCCGUUUUCUUAUUUGCAGUGAGAAAUGACUGACCGUGAGGCAGUCCAGAUUCUGAAGGCCAGUCGAAAGGGUUUUAAAGCCGCUUUGACUCGUGCCAGGAAUGUGGCUGAGUCCGCCUUUCAAGAUUAUGUUGAGGGUGAUGAUCCAGGACUACUCGAGGAAUUUCUUGGUCAUUGGGAUAAUCGACUUCAAAAGUUUUUGAGCGCCGAAGAUCAGGUUAAUUGCCAUUUGGCAUCGGAUAUCAAAGAUUCCGAUCCAGCCGUUGACGAACACGUACAAGCCUUUUUCAAGGCCAAAUCAAAAGUUGUUGGAUUUCGUAGAGAUGUGGAGGCCGUCAUCAUCCGAACUGAACCAAUCCGACCAGUUCGUGAGUCAGGACCCAGCCGCCAGAGCCUUCCCAAGAUAGAUGCUAAAAAACCUCCUAUCCUCCAGGAGGAUACUGAUCAUAAGAUGUUCACAGGUUGGAGGCCUCUUUGGAAUAAUUACGCUAAGUUGAUCUAUCUUAAUGAGCGCGACCAAGACAUCCAGGUUGGACUCUUUUGGGAGUGCUGCAGCUCUGGAUUUUUGCGGACCAUUAACCAUUCGCUUGGGAUCAAAUCUGACACGAGUCGUUCUGUUGACGAAAUAUUGAAUCUCAUUGAAGAAUUUCUUCGCAGUUUACGUAACAUCCAUUUGGAUCUGCGCGAUCUCUUGAGCGUUCGACAAAAAGAGGGUCAGGAUUAUUCUUCUUUUUGUAAUACAAUUAGAGAGUUGGCCGAUUAUGCAGACACCGCUAACAUUACGGAAAAUCGACUCUUAAUCGCGCUCCUAUUACAGGGUAUGCGAAGUGACUCUGACAAAGCCAAGACAAUGGAGCGCAAUCCAAAAUCUUUUGAGGAGGCUCGGAAAUUCAUUUUGAAAUUGGAGACGUCUCGUCGAGGAGCCCGUGAAUUUAGUUCUGUGGCGUUUUCCCACUCUGUGAACGCUGUGGAUCAGACCGUGAAUGGUACCAAGUCCAAUUACAAGAAGAAGGGCGGGAAAUCUGCUUUCAAAAAAGGGGGAUCAUCCGAGAAGUGUCCAUUUUAUGGAAAUCCAAAGUGGCAUGCUCGUGAGGAAUGUCCCGCUUCAAGAUCGUCUUGUCACGGAUGUGGGCGCAAUGGACAUUGGUUACUAGCUUGUCGAAGCAAAAGCCAAAAUCAGCUUUUGACGAUUCCAAUCUCAAACCUAUGUGCGGACCCAUUGUGGGAGAUCCCAUGGUUAUUACCUUGAAGGAAGGGGCCACACCGUUUGCCAUUAAUACCGCCUACAAAAUCCCCAUUCCUCAGGAGGAAAAGAGGCGAUGUCGCUAUGUCUGGCCUUCGAAUUCAUAAGUUCGUCGACGAUAUGGCCGGUGGCGCGGAGCACUACCACGAUCUGGUUCGUCUCGCUUGUGAGGUCCUUGAACGGUGUGCACGUUAUGGAAUGACGGUCAAUGCGAGCAAAAGUAUUGUGGGUGGAGCCGACAGAAUUGAUUUUGUGGGUUAUCACAUAUCGCAGAACAGUAUCCAGGCCGAUGCGGAGAAAGUCUCUGCCAUUGGUCAGUUUCCCAGUCCGACGGAUCGCCGUGACUUGAGAUCGUUUCUUGGUUUGGCUAACCAAUUGGGUCAGUUUUCUAGCGACAUUGCUCUGGUAUCCGAACCUCUUCGAGGCUUGUUGAAGACCGCCAACACGUUUAUGUGGUUGCCCGAGCAUACCACGGCCUUUGAGAAUGUCAAGUCUACCCUCACGUCACCACCUAUCUUGGGUAUGUACCGGCUAAAUGCCAAAACUGUUCUUCAAACGGACGCCUCCAAGCUGAAGGGUUUAGGGUUUGCCUUGAUGCAAUUACACGAAGAUAAGUGGAGGUUGAUCCAAUGUGGAUCCCGCUUUUUGAAAGAUGCGGAGUCGAGAUAUGCUAUUCUUGAGUUGGAGGCCUUGGCAAUCUAUUGGGCAAUACGGAAAUGUCGGAUUUAUCUGGCCGGUCUCCCGCAUUUCACUGUCUUGACUGAUCAUAAGCCUUUAAGAAACAUCUUCAAUGAUCAAAUGUUUAACUCGGUCGAGAAUCCCAGGAUAUUAAAUUAUCGCUCACGCCUUUCCUCCUUUUAAUUUCUCGGUUGAAUGGAAAUGCGGCAAGGAACAUUACAUUCCCGACGCCUUGUCCCGGUCUCCUGUGGGACAUGAGAACGAUGAAGAUGAUUUGGGACCCAUCAAUCUGGCAGUGGCGAUGAUCCAGGUCUAGGAUUGCGACCUCAUUUUGGAUGGCAUCGCGGCCCAGGCGCGAGAGGACCCGGAAUUCGUCCGUCUAAAGAUGGCAAUCCGGGAUCGAACCAUCUUGAAGCAUCAAUCCGGUUAUGUGGUCCUAUUCAAGAAGGUGUCAAACGAGCUCUCGGUCGAAGGCGAUCUCGUUCUUCGAGGUGCACGCAUUGUGAUCCCUCCUAGUGCAAUAAAACAUGUUUUGUCGUUAUUACACGUUAGUCACCAGGGAAUUGAGCGCACCAAAAGGCGAGCCAGACAAAUUGUGUAUUGGCCCGGCUUGAAUUCUGAUAUCGCCAACAUGAUUGCUACCUGUCCUGAAUGUGCAUAUUUCAAAGCCUCCAAUAUUCCCGAGCCUCUAAUACAGGCGGAUCAACCCACCCGGCCUUUUGAAAUGGUGACGGCCGAUUUUUUCUCGUACUGAGGGAAGGAUUAUUUGGUUUACACCGACCGGUUUUCCGGGUUCCCCUUUAUUGUCCAAUUCAAUGCUUCCCCCACGUCGUCAAGCUUGAUUCGUGAACUUCGAGGUCUAUUUUGCACCAUGGGCGUACCUAACGUUUUUCGGUCGGACAAUGGAACUCCGUUUACUUCCUUAGUUACUCAGGACUUUUUCCGUCAUUGGGGAGUGACUUGGCGAUCCUCUUCUCCCCACUAUCCUCAAUCAAACGGACACGCUGAGGCGCACGUGAAGAGUCUGAAAUACCUUCUGGCCAAAUGUGGCGGGAAAUACGAGUCCGAGGAGUUCGCGGCUGGUCUGUUGGAGCUCCGAAACACGCCACGUUCUGACGGGUUGUCACCCGCCCAGCGUGUAUUCGGCCAACCACUCCGAUCGAGAUUGCCCAUUCAUUGGCGAGCCUUUCGUUCCGAAUUUCAGGCUUCAUCGGAACAGGCCGAUUCCAAACGAUUACGGGAUCAGGCCUCUCGUAAACUUUACUACGACCGUUCAACACGAAUUCGGAAAAGGAUCCCAAUUGGAGAGCGUGUCCUCGUGCAAAAUCCCGUCUCCCGUCGAUGGGAUAAGGAGGCCAUAAUCGUGGAUAAUCGAUCUCCAAGGCGCUAUCAGCUUCGAUUCCCCUCGGGCAAAGUCAUGGAGAGAAAUUUGCGUUAUUUACGAUAUGCUUCUGAUUUGUUUUCAGUUAGUGAUGAGUCGACCGCUUCAACAACUAGGGAUGGAACGAACCCCACCAAUGAUGAGCCGAGACGAAGCCUCGAGAACGACGAAAACCUGACCGACUCCACUUUGAUUGAAUGUUUCAUUUUCCAUCACACUCUUAUCUCAUGUUUUAUCUUAAAAGGGAGUUGGGAUGAUUGCAUGUUUGUUCACUUCAGUUAAUCAUGUACAGUUCUGAGCUUGCCGGUCAGCUGGUACAGCUUUUGUUCAGGCAGCCCGGCACUUCGGUCUAGAGCUUCAAUAAAGAACCAUCUCCUCCAACA